rnacentral:rRNA from 1 species
UACGUAGGGGGCAAGCGUUGUCCGGAUUUACUGGGCGUAAAGCGCGUGUAGGCGGCUCGAUAAGUCUGCUGUGAAAGUCCAGGGCUCAACCCUGGGAUGCCGGUGGAUACUGUCGAGCUCGAGUCCGGAAGAGGCGAGUGGAAUUCCUGGUGUAGCGGUGAAAUGCGCAGAUAUCAGGAGGAACACCAAUGGCGAAGGCAGCUCGCUGGGACGUGACUGACGCUGAGACGCGAAAGCGUGGGGAGCAAACAGG